CUCUGCUUACCUGGACCAGGGGCAGCAGAAGAUCUUCCUGCUAUAAUGCCGGGGCCCAGUACCCACACUGGGGCCUGUGGUGCCCAAGGUGUCUCCUGCCAGGCCUAGGCCUGAGAGUUAAGAGACAACACAGCAACCAGCACCCAUUACCUCGUGGAUCUGCUGCUAGAGGCUAUGAGAGGCAUAGAGAAGAUGAAGAUAUGGUGCCUGCCCUAAACUAACCUUUCCUCCAAGUCCACCUCCUUAAGAGGAGACAGCCAGCUGAAUGUGAACAGGAGGACUCCUUAAAAGUUGGCAUCAUGUCUAUUUCCUCUUGGAAUCCAUGGUGCGUACACAGAGUCUGACCCAGAGUAAGGAAUACAGCUCUUGGUCGAAAAAAAUGAAGCUUAUUUUAAGCAAGAACUUAAAACAGACUCUCACAUAAGGACGACCACCCAGGUGAGGGCUUCUUGGUCCACGAACAUCCUUGACCUCAAAGAUGGAAAUUGCAAGAUGGCAGACUGAGAGCACUGUUCAAAGUUCCCUAAUGUGAGCCAUUGGAGAAAUGGCUGGGAUCAACUUUCCUAUCUCUGCUCAAAAGAUGUCAACCUUGUCCACGUCAGCCAGGAUGUCAAGGUGAAGAGGAUAGAAAUUCUGGAUCUGGCUGAGUCUAGUAUCCACCAGAGAAAACUUUGGCCUUUAAUCUGGGAUUUUAUAUCAUUUUCACCUCUAACAGAGAGAGAGAGAGGGGCAUGAGUUGGGUCCACCAACUGGGACAAGCAGGUCCAACCUGCUUCUCUGCUGUCUUCAAUUCCAUUCAGACCCCAUGCCCUGCUGCCUAGCACCUCCACCUUCCCCUCUGGGGCUCCAGCAAAGAGGAAGGCAGUCAGAGCCACUCAAAGGGUCCAACCUCCUUGCAUUCCAGCCCUGGUCAAAGUCAGCCCGGGAACAAGUGGAAAGACCCUCUUGAAGGAAGUGAUUCAGAAACCAUCAUGGCCUGGCGGCCCGCCGUGACUCACAGCACAUCAAUGGGGGAAUUGUCUGUGGAAGCUGAGAAUUCCAAAGCUCUUUUCUUUCCUUUCUUACUUACUUUCUUUUUUUUUCUUUCUUUCUUUUUGCCCUCCCAUUGGCGGCAUUGUGCAACAGCAGGGCUGCCCAGAAACAUGUGGUUUUCAUCAUUGGCUCCACAACUGCCUUAGAGCACUGUGGAGAAAAUAAGACGGAGAGGGAACAGGAUACAAGGGGACCUGUUGCGGUCAAGUGGGGUGCUUCUCUUUCACCCCACCUUUCUUGUCAACACCAACAUCCUCCAAGAGCAUCUGGAAUGGAAGGGAAUAGAAUUUUGGAUCUGGGAGAAAACUUGGAGUAUGUCUCAUCCAAUAACUCUAUGUACAGAUGAGGAA